rnacentral:tRNA from 1 species
AAGGAUUUAAGUUAAUCAAUUAAACUAAUAGCCUUCAAAGCUAUAAAUAAAGAAUAAAGCUUUAAGCCUUA